GUGGAGCCGUCCUUGAAAUACCACCCUUGUAUGUUUGAUGUUCUAACAUUGACCCCUUAUCGGGGUUGUGGACAGUGUCUGGUGGGUAGUUUGACUGGGGCGGUCUCCUCCCAAAUAGUAACGGAGGAGCACGAAGGUUAGCUAAUCACGGUCGGACAUCGUGAGGUUAGUGCAAUGGCAUAAGCUAGCUUAACUGCGAGACAGACACGUCGAGCAGGUACGAAAGUAGGUCAUAGUGAUCCGGUGGUUCUGUAUGGAAGGGCCAUCGCUCAACGGAUAAAAGGUACUCCGGGGAUAACAGGCUGAUACCGCCCA
rnacentral:rRNA from 1 species